GUGGGGAAUCUUAGACAAUGGGCGCAAGCCUGAUCUAGCCAUGCCGCGUGAGCGAUGAACGCCUUAGGGUUGUAAAGCUCUUUCGUGGUGGAAGAUAAUGACUGUACCCCAAGAAGAAGCCCCGGCUAACUCCGUGCCAGCAGCCGCGUUAAUACGGAGGGGGCUAGCGUUGUACGGAAUUACUGGGCGUAAAGUGCACGUAGGCGGACUGGAAAGUCAGGGGUGAAAUCCCGGGGCUCAACCCCGGAACUGCCUUUGAAACUCCCAGUCUUGAGUUCGAGAGGGGUGAGUGGAAUUCCGAGUGUAGAGGUGAAAUUCGUAGAUAGUCGGAGGAACACCAGUGGCGAAGGCGGCUCACUGGCUCGAUACUGACGCUGCGGUGCGAAAGCGUGGGGAGCAAACAGGAUUAGAAACCCCUGUAGUCC
rnacentral:rRNA from 1 species